ensembl:snoRNA
ACCCUUUUGUGGUUCCUAAGUGUGAUGUUUGGGUUUUCAUACUCAUGUGUGAAAAGAGCCUCCGUCAAGCCUUGUUAUGAUGUAGCAGGCACAUUACCCUUAACCAUCUGACG